rnacentral:rRNA from 1 species
UACGUAGGUGGCAAGCGUUGUCCGGAAUUACUGGGGGUAAAGCGCGUGUAGGCGGGAGGCCCAGUCUGCUGUGAAAUCGCUCGGCUCAACUGGGCGGGGUCGGUGGAAACUGGUCACCUGGAGGACGGUAGAGGCGAGUGGAAUUCCCGGUGUAGUGGUGAAAUGCGUAGAGAUCGGGAGGAACACCAGUGGCGAAGGCGGCUCGCUGGGCCGGUCCUGACGCUGAGACGCGAAGGCGUGGGGAGCGAACGGG